GAUAGCCAUACGAAAACUUUAAAACAGAAGUAUGGGUAGCUGACUUGAAGUAACUCUAUGUCAAAUAGUCAUAGGUUAAGUAUCUUCAAAGAAGUUGGAUAUUAUUUCAGAGGAUACAAAAUAAAAAAACAAACUGGAAAACAUAAAGAUUACAGAGAAAAAACCAACACCUUCCUGUGCAGUCCUCUUGGAAUUUGGACUUGCCAUGAGGUGUUGAAGCCUUGUUUCACUGAGUUGGAGAGACUGGACCUAAAUGGCGCAGCAUGACUUUGCUCCAGCCUGGCUUAAUUUUCCUACUCCACCAUCAUCAACAAAUUCUUCAUUGAAUUUUGAGAAGCAUUCUGAAAACUUUUCAUGGACAGAAAACUGAUAUGAUGUGAAUUGUCGACGACACAAUUCUUCAGAUGGCUUUGAUUCUGGUAUUGGACGUUCUAAUGGAGGUAACUUUGGAAGGAAAGAAAAAAAUGGAUGGCAUACACAUGGAAGAAAUGGUACUGAAAACAUAGAUCAUUGAAAGAGAUACCAUGGUGGAAGUUCCUGUUCUCAUAGCAGUAUUUUCCAUUCUGGAAAAAGCCAAGGAUUACAUGAAAACAACAUACCUGACAAUGAAACUGGGAGGAAAGAAGAUAAGAGAGAAUGCAAACAGUUUGAGGCUGAGGAUUUUCCAUCUUUAAAUCCUGAAUAUGAGAGAGAACCAAAUCAGAAUAAAUCUUUAGCUGCAGGUGUAUGGGGCCUACACGCCCAGACACACACAUACCCAACCAAAAAAAUCUCCCAAGCUCCUCUCUUAGAAUAUCCUCUGAAUCCUAAAUCUAGAGCUCCAAGGAUGCUGGUCAUUAAGAAAGGUAAUACAAAAGACUUACAGCUAUCUGGAUUCCCAGUAGUAGGAAAUCUUCAGUCACAGCCAGUUAAGAACGGAACUGGUCCCAGUGUUUAUAAAGGUUUAGUCCCCAAACCUGCUGCUCCACCUAUAACACCUAUACCAUGGAAAAGCCAAACUAAAGAAAAUAAAGUUGGGACUUCUUUCCCCAAUGAGUCUACAUAUGGUGUUGGCAACUUUCAUGCUUUUAAAUCAACUGCCAAGAAUUUUAGUCCAUCAGCUAAUUCAGUGAAAGAGUGUAAUUGCUCAAAUUCCUCUUCACCUGUUGACAAACUUAAUCAGCAGCCUCCUCUAACCAAACUGACAUGAAUGUGCACUGAUAAGAAGAGUGAAUUUUUGAAAGCAUUGAAAAGGGACAGAGUAGAAGAGGAACAUGAAGAUGAAAGCCAUGCUGGCUCAGAGAAGGAUGAAGACUCAUUUAAUUUACAUAACAGCAAUAGCACUCACCAAGAAAGGGAUAUAAACUGGAACUUGGAUGAAAAUGAAAUUCCGCAAGAGAAUGGCAAUGUCUCAGUGAUUUCCCAACAAGUCAUUCAUUCUUCAACCUUCCUGCAAACUGACGUUCUUUCAAGUUCACUUGAGGCAGAACACAGACUGUUGAAGGAGAUGGGCUGGCAGGAAGGCAGUGAAAAUGAUGAAACAUGUGCUCCUUUAACUGAGGAUGAAAUGAGAGAAUUCCAAGUUAUCAGUGAACAGUUACAGAAGAAUGGUCUGAGAAAAAACGGCAUUUUGAAAAAUGGCCUGACCUGUGACUUCAAGUUUGGACCUUGGAAAAACAGCACUUUCAAACCCACAAUUGAGAAUGAUGACACAGAGACAAGUAGCAGUGACACACUGGAUGACGACGAUGUGUGA